rnacentral:rRNA from 1 species
AUGACGGGUAACGGGGAAUUAGGGUUCGAUUCCGGAGAGGGAGCCUGAGAAACGGCUACCACAUCUAAGGAAGGCAGCAGGCGCGCAAAUUACCCAAUCCUAAUACAGGGAGGUAGUGACAAGAAAUAACAAUACAGGACUUUAAAUAGUUUUGUAAUUGGAAUGAGUUAAGUAUAAACCCCUUUACAAGUAUCAAUUGGAGGGCAAGUCUGGUGCCAGCAGCCGCGGUAAUUCCAGCUCCAAUAGCGUAUAUUAAAGUUGUUGCAGUUAAAAAGCUCGUAGUUGGAUUUCUGUUAAUAAUUUAUAUAUAAUAUUUUAUUAAUAUUUAUAUAGUAUUAACAUAAUUCAUAUUACUAUAUUUUAUAGUAUAUGAAAUUUUACUUUGAGAAAAUUAGAGUGCUUAAAGCAGGCAUUAGCCUUGAAUACUCCAGCAUGGAAUAAUAUAAAAGAUUUUUAUCUUUUUUAUUGGUUCUAAGAUAAAAAUAAUGAUUAAU